rnacentral:rRNA from 1 species
UACGGAGGGUGCAAGCGUUAUCCGGAUUUACUGGGUUUAAAGGGUGUGUAGGCGGACUAUUAAGUCAGCGGUGAAAUCUCCGGGCUCAACCCGGAAACUGCCAUUGAUACUAUUAGUCUUGAAUGUUGUUGAGGUGGGCGGAACGGGUCAUGUAGCGGUGAAAUGCAUAGAUAUGACCCGGAACACCGAUUGCGAAGGCAGCCCACUAAGCAACGAUUGACGCUGAGGCACGAAAGCGUGGGGGAUCAAACAGG